rnacentral:lncRNA from 10 species
AGAGAGAUAAUAGAUAUUAACAUUUGAGCAGAUCCUGAAUGAUCAAGGAUUCUGCCAAGAAAACAAGAGGGUGGAGAGGACAAUGCAGGCAGACAGACAUAAUCUUCACCUUUCCAUCUACCCUCGCUGUAUCAGCUGUUCUCUGACUAUGCUCCUGAGACAGGCACCCUGCACACCAAGGGUGCACUUGGAUCUCGCUAGUUACUGUGGUCCAGGUUUGGAUGGACCUCUGCAGUCUUAGCACAGGCUCGAGGAGUAUAAGUUUUCAAAGGAAACACAACUAGGAAAUAAGGGUGAGAUAUGAAUGCGGGGAGAAUGCCUAUAAACAGACAUACUGAGAGAGCCUGGAGCCAUUUUCCUAAGGUAAUGGAACUCUGGCCACUGACAGGCUUCAGUGGCUCAGGUUCCUGGGCACAAAGCCUAACCUUAUUUUCCUCAUCUAAUCUGUCUCCUUUGCUAUUCAGAAAGCAUUGUCACUGGCCAGGUAUUAAAGCUCAUUGUUUCUAACCUUUGGCAACAUUUUGGUUGUUAUUGUUUUUCAUCUUUUCCCCUUAUAUGAGCCCAUUUCUCUAGUAGUCCCAAGGAUUUGAGGACCAGCACUGACCUCCCUCUAGAUUGUCUCUCUCACAUGAAAAUCCUACUAUUUUUAGUCAAAUAUAGCUCUCUUUUCCCGUUUCAAAACUCAGACGCCCUAUAGAAUAGCUCAAAAAGUUCUUAUUUUGGCCAGGCAUGGUGGCUCAUGCCUAUAAUGCCAGCACUUGGGGAGGACAAGGUGGGAGGAUGGCUUGAGGACAGGACUUUGAGAGCAGCCUGGGCCACAUAAGGAGACCCUGUCUCUACAAAAAAUUUAAAAAGUAGCCAGACGUGGUGGUAUGCACCUGUAGUCCCAGCUGCUUGGGAGGUUAAAGUGGAAGGAUUGCCUGAGCCCAGGAGGUUGAGGCUGCAGUGAGCCAUGAUCAUGCCACUGCACUUUACCCUGGGUGACGGAGCAAGACCCUCUCUCAGAACAAACAAACAAACAAACAAAAAAGAAGUUAUUUUUGUCUCAGAGGCAAUGUUUGUUCUCUACUCUCUGAAGGGAGGUUAUAACUUAAGUGACCCAAGGCCAAGGAAUGGUCACGUAUUUUCCGCUCUAACUUACCUUCUCAGCAUACUUUGUUAGAUAUUUUUGGAAGAUUCACCUCACUCUCUUAAAUCCUCCAAACCUCAGUUUUCUAACAUAAAAGUACAUCACACACAUGAGAGCAACAAAAUAGAGCUGCUCACCUUUCAAGCCUAGGGCCUCCCAUAGAUAGAUGAAAUCAGAAUCUGGUGGUGGAUCACAGGAAUCAG